AUUGAACGCUGGCGGCAUGCCUUACACAUGCAAGUCGAACGGCGGCACGGGUGCUUGCACCUGGUGGCGAGUGGCGAACGGGUGAGUAAUACAUCGGAACAUGUCCUGUAGUGGGGGAUAGCCCGGCGAAAGCCGGAUUAAUACCGCAUACGAUCUACGGAUGAAAGCGGGGGACCUUCGGGCCUCGCGCUAUAGGGUUGGCCGAUGGCUGAUUAGCUAGUUGGUGGGGUAAAGGCCUACCAAGGCGACGAUCAGUAGCUGGUCUGAGAGGACGACCAGCCACACUGGGACUGAGACACGGCCCAGACUCCUACGGGAGGCAGCAGUGGGGAAUUUUGGACAAUGGGCGAAGGCCUGAUCCAGCAAUGCCGCGUGUGUGAAGAAGGCCUUCGGGUUGUAAAGCACUUUUGUCCGGAAAGAAAUCCUUGGCCCUAAUACGGUCGGGGGAUGACGGUACCGGAAGAAUAAGCACCGGCUAACUACGUG
rnacentral:rRNA from 1 species